rnacentral:rRNA from 1 species
CCUACGGGUGGCAGCAGUGGGGAAUAUUGCACAAUGGGGGAAACCCUGAUGCAGCGACGCCGCGUGAGUGAAGAAGUAUCUCGGUACGUAAAGCUCUAUCAGCAGGGAAGAAAAUGGCGGUACCUGACUAAGAAGCCCCGGCUAACUACGUGCCAGCAGCCGCGGUAAUACGUAGGGGGCAAGCGUUGUCCGGAUUGACUGGGGGUAAAGGGAGCGGAGACGGCAGCACAAGUCUGGAGUGAAAUCCCGGGGCUUAACCGCGGAACUGCUUUGGAAACUGUGCGGCUGGAGUGCAGGAGGGGUAAGCGGAAUUCCGAGUGUAGCGGUGAAAUGCGUAGAUAUUAGGAGGAACACCGGUGGCGAAGGCGGCUUACUGGACUGUAACUGACGUUGAGGCUCGAAAGCGUGGGGAGCAAACAGGAUUAGAUACCCCAGUAGUC